rnacentral:snoRNA from 1 species
CCCUUCUCAGGAUCGUAUCUGGAGAGUUUCCAGUACUCUACCAGCCUCAGCUAUGGGAGGAAGAAUCAAGCAGAGACAUACACAUUCCAUUCCUAGCUUGUCCAGUGGCUAGCGAGUGAAAAGCAAUCUGCUACAAGU